rnacentral:rRNA from 1 species
AUUGAACGCUGGCGGCAGGCUUAACACAUGCAAGUCGAGCGGGGGAAGGUAGCUUGCUACUGGACCUAGCGGCGGACGGGUGAGUAAUGCUUAGGAAUCUGCCUAUUAGUGGGGGACAACAUCUCGAAAGGGAUGCUAAUACCGCAUACGUCAUACGGGAGAAAGCAGGGGAUCUUCGGACCUUGCGCUAAUAGAUGAGCCUAAGUCGGAUUAGCUAGUUGGUGGGGUAAAGGCCUACCAAGGCGACGACCUGUAGCGGGUCUGAGAGGAUGAUCCGCCACACUGGGACUGAGACACGGCCCAGACUCCUACGGGAGGCAGCAGUGGGGAAUAUUGGACAAUGGGGGGAACCCUGAUCCAGCCAUGCCGCGUGUGUGAAGAAGGCCUUAUGGUUGUAAAGCACUUUAAGCGAGGAGGAGGCUACUCUAGUUAAUACCUAGGGAUAGUGGACGUUACUCGCAGAAUAAGCACCGGCUAACUCUGUGCCAGCCGCCGCAGUAA